rnacentral:rRNA from 1 species
UUCGCCCUUAGAGUUUGAUCCUGGCUCAGGAUGAACGCUGGCGGCGUGCUUAACACAUGCAAGACGAGCGAAGCACCUUGACGGAUUUCUUCGGAUUGAAGCCUUGGUGACUGAGCGGCGGACGGGUGAGUAACGCGUGGGUAACCUGCCUCAUACAGGGGGAUAACAGUUGGAAACGGCUGCUAAUACCGCAUAAGCGCACAGUACCGCAUGGUACGGUGUGAAAAACUCCGGUGGUAUGAGAUGGACCCGCGUCUGAUUAGGUAGUUGGUGGGGUAACGGCCUACCAAGCCGACGAUCAGUAGCCGACCUGAGAGGGUGACCGGCCACAUUGGGACUGAGACACGGCCCAAACUCCUACGGGAGGCAGCAGUGGGGAAUAUUGCACAAUGGGGGAAACCCUGAUGCAGCGACGCCGCGUGAGCGAUGAAGUAUUUCGGUAUGUAAAGCUCUAUCAGCAGGGAAGAAAAUGACGGUACCUGACUAAGAAGCCCCGGCUAACUACGUGCCAGCAGCCGCGGUAAUACGUAGGGGGCAAGCGUUAUCCGGAUUUACUGGGUGUAAAGGGAGCGUAGACGGCAUGGCAAGCCAGAUGUGAAAGCCCGGGGCUCAACCCCGGGACUGCAUUUGGAACAGUCAGGCUAGAGUGUCGGAGAGGAAAGCGGAAUUCCUAGUGUAGCGGUGAAAUGCGUAGAUAUUAGGAGGAACACCAGUGGCGAAGGCGGCUUUCUGGACGAUGACUGACGUUGAGGCUCGAAAGCGUGGGUAGCAAACAGGAUUAGAUACCCUGGUAGUCCACACUGUAAACGAUGAUUACUUAGGUCUGGGGGGUCUAACCCCCUCCGUGCCGGAGUUAACACAAUAAGUAAUCCACCUGGGGAGUACGACCGCAAGGUUGAAACUCAAAGGAAUUGACGGGGGCCCGCACAAGCAGUGGAGUAUGUGGUUUAAUUCGACGCAACGCGAAGAACCUUACCAGGUCUUGACAUCCAACUAACGAAGCAGAGAUGCAUUAGGUGCCCUUCGGGGAAAGUUGAGACAGGUGGUGCAUGGUUGUCGUCAGCUCGUGUCGUGAGAUGUUGGGUUAAGUCCCGCAACGAGCGCAACCCUUGUGAUUAGUUGCUACGCAAGAGCACUCUAAUCAGACUGCCGUUGACAAAACGGAGGAAGGUGGGGACGACGUCAAAUCAUCAUGCCCUUUAUGACCUGGGCUACACACGUACUACAAUGGUCGUUAACAGAGGGAAGCAAUACCGCGAGGUGGAGCAAAACCCUAAAAACGGUCUCAGUUCAGAUUGUAGGCUGCAACUCGCCUACAUGAAGUUGGAAUUGCUAGUAAUCGCGGAUCAGCAUGCCGCGGUGAAUACGUUCCCGGGCCUUGUACACACCGCCCGUCA